rnacentral:rRNA from 1 species
UACGUAGGGGGCAAGCGUUGUCCGGAAUCAUUGGGCGUAAAGCGCGCGUAGGCGGCCCGGUAAGUCCGCUGUAAAAGUCAAAGGCUCAACCUUUGAAUGCCGGUGGAUACUGUCGGGCUAGAGUCCGGAAGAGGCGAGUGGAAUUCCUGGUGUAGCGGUGGAAUGCGCAGAUAUCAGGAGGAACACCAAUAGCGAAGGCAGCUCGCUGGGACGUAACUGACGCUGAGACGCGAAAGCGUGGGGAGCAAACAGG